AAAAGAAAGGAAGAGAGAAAGAAAAGAAAGAAAAAGAAGAGAAAAGAAAGAAGGGAAAGGGAGGAAAAGAAGGGAGAAAUAAUGGAAGGUGAAAGGGUUUUUGAUAGUGGAAAGGAAGAGUGAGGUAUUAAAGUUAAGGAAUCAAUGCACUUCAGAAAUAGCCUUUGGAAAGUCUUGGAUGCGGGGUUGCGGAGUAGACACCCACACAGUACUUUUCGAUAUAUUUUUAUAUAUACUAUUGAAGUCAAUGAUUAAGCAUAAGAACAAAGAUGGAUACGAACAAAGACAAGGACAACCUUUGAUGAAUAACAUUAUUGGAUUGUACAUCGGCGUGGACGCAUGAGUUGCUUUCCAUCCUCCACAAGACUUCGAAGGGGACCAUUCACAGCGGUCUUUGAUUGAAUCAUGUCUACUACUUCAGUAUACUAAUGAAAACAAAUAAUCACGUGGUGUUUAUUUGGACUUGUCAAAUAUGGGUCAGGUUAGGGUAUAUACUCUGGUAUGUAGUUGUUUGGGGGUAAAUUAUGUAUUUUUAUAGUAAUGUUACCUAAUUUUUUAAUAAA